CAGGACUUUAUUCAGUUAAACAUGAAUCAUGAAUUCAUGCUCAACUAAUAAACAAGCCUCCGGUCACUAGGUGGCAGCAGUGUUCAAACUAAUCAACAAGCUGGCUGUCCAAGCCAGUAGCUACACAGCACUGUUGUAAAAGGAGCAGAGGGAAAAAAAACGGAGCAAUGGAUACAAGCGCGGAUGUUUUGAAAUAUAUCUACUGUCACASAGGAAAGAUGGAGAAGUUUCACAGCGAAAAGAGAAACAGCAGCAGAGCGGACGUGACGGAGGAAGAGGACAGAGUUGGCCUAAGAAGCUGGUGUUUGUGUGGCAGCUGCUUKGAGACGCCAAUCCAGAUGGAGAGCAACUGCAGAGAGACCGUUUCUAACUGAAGCUGCUUACGCUCCUGCAGGAAGCCCACACUUCACUGGUCUGAAGCCGUUCUGCUCAACUCUGUGCUGC